CCUACGGGUGGCAGCAGUAGGGAAUAUUGCUCAAUGGGCGAAACCCUGAAGCAGCAACGCCGCGUGGAGGAUGACGGUUUUAUGAUUUUAAACUCCUUUUGUUAGAGAAGAUUAUGACGAUAUCUAACGAAUAAGCACCGGCUAACUCCGUGCCAGCAGCCGCGGUAAUACGGAGGGUGCAAGCGUUACACGGAGUCACUGGGCGUAAAGAGUGCGUAGGCGGGGUAAUAAGUCAGAUGUGAAAUCCUAUAGCUUAACUACAGAACUGCAUGUGAAACUGUUACUCUGGAGUGUGGGAGCGGUAGGUGGAAUGCUUGGUGUAGGGGUAAAAUCCGUAGAGAUCAAGAGGAAUACUCAUUGCGAAGGCGACCUGCCGGAACAUUACUGACGCUGAUGCACGAAAGCGUGGGGAGCAAACAGGAUUAGAUACCCGGGUAGUC
rnacentral:rRNA from 1 species